CGCCCUUUGUCCGCCGCGAGCCGGAGCCGCCGCCGGAGCCUCCGGAGCCGCCGCCGCCGCCGCCUCUGUGUCUCGCUGGCUCCCCCUUCCCCGACCACACCCCCUUAAAGGGCCCGCCUCGCUGCGGGCCGCCCCCUCCCCAGGCCGGGCCGCCCUCCGCGCUCGGACCCGGGCCCGCCCCCGGCCCCCCCUCAGCCCGGGCCCCCGGCGCCCCCGGCCUCAGGCUGCGGGGAGCCCCGAUGCGGAGCGGCUGGGGGCGGGGGGCGUCCUGCCUCUGUCGCUGACUGCCCUCUGCCCGCGCCGCGCGGCGGAGGUGAGAGACCACGGGGGGCGGGGGCGACCGGUACCGCUGGGCCGGGCUCGGGGGUCUGCGGGAAGGGGCCCCUAAGAUGGCUGCGCCCCGGGCAGUCUGGGCAAUGUAGUUCCGAGGGUCUGCGCUGGGCCGCCCAUCCCCCCACCGGACGCUCAGGCCCCUCCCCCCAGGGUCUCCUAGCUCCGGAAGAGCGUUGGGAGCCGCGACGCGGCCCGGGGCCCACGCGGGCUCGGGCCUUGGCGGAGCGCCUCCCGCGGCGGGCCGUGGCGCCCUCUGCCCGGGGGCCCCGGAACUGGCGGCUGCUGGUCCGCCCGGCAAAGCCGCCCAGGGCCCGGCCGCUCCCCGCUCAGCUCGUAUCCCCGGCGGGGAACUGAGGCACCCGGGCCGCCCGGCGGAAGCGCCCGGCGCCCCCCAGCGGCCUCAAGGCGAAGCGCCCCGCGUCCCCCCUGCUGCCGGGAGGGCUCUGAAUCGCCGUCGGGCAUUUGGCAGAGCCGCAGCAGCAGCAGUGACCGAGUGGAACUGGCCGGAGCCCGAAUGGCGGCGGAGACGACUUAGGAGCCCGCGGUGUGCCCGGACAGGCCCGAGCUGGGGCAAGGCCCAGGGACUGUCCGGGGCCAGGAACGGCCACAGAAGCAGGGUGGGCGAGCGGGGAGGAAGCCGGAGGCUCCGGAGAAACGUCUGCCCUCUGCUCCCGGCUCCGCCAGGCCUUUCAUGAACUGGAGGGAGCGGCCCAAGGGGAGGCCCCGGACUUGGGACCUCCGGUCAGCGCCCAACCCAGUUCUAGAGGAGUCCGUGAAAGGGGCUGCCCGAGGAGAGAGCUGGGGACCCUCGGGGCCCAUGGCGCCGCCUUUUCUUCCUUUCACUUUCCCUGUUUGUGCACGGGCUCAUGCGGGAGGAUGGUCGGUGGUUGUAUGUUUGCGGUUUGCUUUUUUUGCCUUCUCCAUGUGUGGGGGAAGGAAGAGAAAGAAUUCAGAACUAAAAUAAAAUAAAACUGAAUUUUAGAAAUCAA